GACGAACGCUGGCGGCGUGCUUAACACAUGCAAGUCGAACGGUGAAGCGCCUUCCUUUUUGGUGGGUGUGGAUGAGUGGCGAACGGGUGAGUAACACGUGAGUAACCUGCCCCCUUCUUCUGGAUAACCGCAUGAAAGUGUGGCUAAUACGGGAUAUUCUGGGUCUGUCGCAUGAUGGGUCUGGGAAAGAUAUUGUUUCGGUGGGGGAUGGGCUCGCGGCCUAUCAGCUUGUUGGUGGGGUGAUGGCCUACCAAGGCGGUGACGGGUAGCCGGCCUGAGAGGGUGGACGGGCACACUGGGACUGAGGCACGGCCCAGACUCCGACGGGAGGCAGCAGUGGGGAAUAUUGCACGAUGGGCGCAAGCCUGAUGCAGCGACGCCGCGUGAGGGAUGGAGGCCUUCGGGUUGAGAACCUCUUUCGCCAGUGAAGCAGGCCUGCCUCGUUUGUGGGUGGGUUGACGGUAGCUGGAUAAGAAGCGCCGGCUAACUACGUG
rnacentral:rRNA from 1 species